rnacentral:lncRNA from 1 species
GGUGCCCCAUUGCUGGAGGCGUUCAAGGCCAGGCUGGAUGUGGCUCUCAGCAGCCUGCUCUGCUGGUUUGCAGCCCUGCCCACAGCAGGGGGGUUGGAACUACAUGAUCUUUGAGGUCCUUUUCAACUCAGGCCGUUCUGUGAUUCUACGAUUAAGUGAACCAACUACCUAAUUCUCCUUUAAACGGCAAAAUCAGAAAAACAAAUGCCCUCUUUUCUAGAGCUUCUCUCCAGCAGAAGAGCGUUAUAAAUUCUGACCAUUUUCCUUUGAACUGAUUCCUAGUGCAUGUUUCUUGUUUAGGAAAAUCAAGCGUAUUUGGAGGUAAAGUUAGAGCUUUCCUAAUAUUUCCGCUGCUUUGUUGUUAUUACUGCUCUGAUGUGGGAAGACCUAUUGGCCACAGACAUAACUCCCUCUUUACACACAGCUGGCAAAUGAAAACAAUAUCAGAACAUCUCCAUGACAUACAAGGCUUUUACACAGUGAUGUUUCAGGCUUUACUGCAGUUUCCUUUGUAAAUGCUUAGAACAACUACAUCUGUUUCCUUUCAUUGGUAUUUUGUGUUCUUUAAGCCAAAAGGAGGGGAUAAAACUCAUUAAUUCUGAACAAUAAUUGCAGUGUCCUAUAUAAAUAUUUUUUAGACUGCAGUUUUCCUUUUGUUCCACUAAAAAUAUAAAAUAGCCUAUCUGUUCAAGGUAAUAAGAGUUCCUAGAUAUUUCUAGAUUGCUUUUGUAUGCACAAACACUUGAACAAGAUUUAAACAGUUUAGUUCAAGUGUUGGUAUCAAGCUAGCAGUGAAUGCAGUACUCCUGCUCUCCUAACAGUAGGAGAGAGCUCAACAUGGAUUUAAUUUACCACGUUUCUCAAGUGAGUUUUGCAUCCUACAGUGACUAUAAGCCUGUCAUAGCUAGACAACUAUCUGGUUGAGUACACCCUUCCGGAAACUGCAGCACGGGUCUACGUCCUGUUGCAAACAUCAUAGCUAAGUCUCAGCCUAGGACCGGAGAGCACCUCUAUUAUUGCUGGACAUGAAAAAUAGUGAAUGUAGUUAAAAGUAUUUUGCUAAUAUUAUAUAAGAGUUAAAAAUCAAUAAAUCAACAAACAAACAUCAACUUAUAACACCUAAUCCAAAACAGAG